UUAGUUUUUGAGUGUCUUCUCCCUCUACCUAGGUUACCUGGUCAAAAACCAAAUCUUUUUUCAGAACUGUCUUUUGGUUUCACCGUUUGCUGGUCAGUUGUUCAUCUCCUUCUCCGGUUUGUGGUUGCUGCUCGUGCUUCGUGCUCCUUCUGCGUGCUCUGCCUUUGUCUGUGCGUUGCCGCUCGUGCUCUGCCUCCUGUCUCUGGUCUCAGACAUCCACCACUCCAACCUCCAAUCUCGCACCUCAGACCACCUCCACCAUCGUCAAUCGCACUCCCAGGUACCAGCCUUCACUUGCGAACAACCGCUCCGCCUCCUGCAUGUGUUUUCCUCUGCCGGUCUCAGAACCUGCGCCCCUGCCAGCCUCAGACACUGCGCCUUCCUCUGUUCAUUCUACUCCGUAGAAAAGCGGGAGUCAGUAACAAGCUACACGCACACAUAUUUUAGUGAAGCUACACGCACACAUAUUUUAGUGAAGACUACGGCAUAAUCAUGCAUUCUAAUAAAGAAAGGAGUAAAAAGAUGUCAGGUUCUAAAAAAAAAUAAAGAACACUUGUAAAUUAAAGUACAAAAAGGUUAAGGAGCAAGAAAUGAUCAAUGAAGAGCAAAAGGUUAAGUUGAAAGAUGCUGAGCACAAGUUAAAAGAUCAAGGACGUCAACUAAAAGUUCAACACAAAA